rnacentral:lncRNA from 12 species
AAUGGCAGGACAGAAAUGCAGGUAGGACUAGGUCACUAAGUGUUCUAGCUGGUGACCUUUAAUAGGAGGGAAGGACCAAAGCUAAACACUCAUUUUUUCCUAGGUAAUUAAAAGAGUCCUUGCAUCCUAGGGCGAAAGGCCAUUUGGAACAAUACAAGCUUCAAAGUUCAGAAGUCCUGGGCCCAAAAGUUAGAUGGUGGAAAAGCCAGGGAUGGGUAAAACAACAACACAGGAUCACACAGGAUAGAAGAGCCAGCUUGAGAUCAUACUAGGCAUGUAAGACUGCUGGAAAUUUGGCAAAGCCAGAGCACAAGUUGAGCAAUGAGAAGAAAGGAAAGAGUCAGAAGCCAGUAGGGAGUAAACAAUGUCAAUGAGGCAGAGUGAAAUCAUUAUUUUUGUGAGAUCUUAAUAAUAAAUGCAAAGUUUUUGGUGACUAAGAUGUUUUGAUAUGACAAUCUAGACAUUUUCCUAUGUUCUAAGGUGAUCAUAGAUUCCCAGAGACUAGCCUCAGGUUAAGUUUUGACAGUUCCCUAAGAACCGUUUCAGCUCUGGUAGAAAACACUUUUGUCCACCUCCUCAGCCCCUAUUUCCCUGUGUUUAUUCCUGCUGUGUCUCUGCUUUUACAUCUAACACCAAUGACCAGCCUGGGGAGGGUAGGGGGUGGGAGGCUAGAAAUAUAACAUUCAACUCCUUAGGAUUCUGUGUCAAGAAACAGUUACAAUCACUUGAAAAUCUAGAAUCAUUAUUUUCCUCAAAUGAUGGCCUUGAAAUUCUGCUAUUAGUUUAUUGGUUCCUGACUACGUUAAAAACUCAUUACUUGAAAUACAUAGCAUGUCCUUAAAUUUACUUCAUUAAAGUCUAUAUUAUCAUGAAAAAUAUAGAAAUUUAGUCCUAUCUCCUAUUACAAAUGAAUUAUAUGUACUUUUCUUUUGUCUUUUUCUUCUUUUUACAUGUUCAUUCUCUGUUCACAUGUUUUUUUCUUUUAUGUCAAAAAGCAUACACUUCUCUCUCUUUCUCAACCCAUUUGCAUUACUCUGAACAAGAAAUUUUAUGGAUAAGGGGGGGUGGGGAAGAGAAGGCUGCAGAGUUCAAAAACUUAGAUAAGGUCACUCUCAUCCUAAAAUAAAAUAUAUAGGAAUACAAAAAAAAAAAAAGUACUACCAUCAAAGUAAAGGAUCAUGGUUGGUAACAUCUAUUUUAAAUAAUCAAGCCACAGAUAUGAUUUUCUAAAUAAUAGAGAUUGAAAAUUCCACAUGUAUUCACUCUUUUCCUUAUCAGCCAUAUUGAUGAGCAUAUAAGGCUGGAGCUGUGUGUUCAGUUGCCUGUGAGGAGCAGUGUCUAAAUGCAGAUCCUCAAUCCAGCCUGAACAAUUGUUCAGGGCCGCAAAGACCACAAUUGAUCACAUUAAAAUGAAACAGAACCAAGUUUCAAAAUAUAUUAAUGACAAAAUAUUCUGGAACAAAUAUUAAAGAUCUAAUAAAUAAAAUUCCAAACACUUAGAAAUGCCA